rnacentral:lncRNA from 1 species
ACUCAUCUUCUUCAUUUCCCUUUACCUUCAUCUCCUCAAAUGGCUGCCUCACUUCCCACUGAUGCUAGAAGCUUGUUCAAUAACGGGAACGACGAGCGAAGUAGAAGCAAAGAAGUAGAUGAGGAAGUCCCGCGAAAUGCAAGAAGAAGAAGAAGAACUCACCGUGAAAGACGAGCGCGGCGAACGAAAGAGUUUGAAGAAGAAGACGGUUGAAGAACGAGCGUGGUUGGAAGAAGGACGGACGAACGCAUUGAAGAAGGCUGGACGCGUUCAAGAACGGAGAUCGUAAUGACUACCGGCGAGAGGAAAAUGAGAGAGACGCGCCAGAGAAAUAGUGGAAAGUGGGAGCGGUGAAAUGAAAACGAAAGAGAAAUUUUGAAAAAAGUGUACGUGAAGAGUGAAGAGAGUGUGUGCGUGACUGUGAGUGAGAGUAUUGUUACCACAGUGAACUGAUGGACACAGUAACGUGCAAUGCUAGAGACAAAAAAAUAAAAAAAUGGGCAGUUCAAAGAUAAUUGGAUUAAUUUAUACAAGAUGAAAUACUAGGAUUAGCCAA